AACGAACGCUGGCGGCGCGCCUAAUACAUGCAAGUCGAGCGAGAAGACGUAGCAAUACGUUUGUAAAGCGGCGAACGGGUGAGGAAUACAUGGGUAACCUACCCUCGAGUGGGGAAUAACUAGCCGAAAGGUUAGCUAAUACCGCGUACGCUCCUUGGACUUCGGUUCAGGGAGGAAAGCGAUACCGUGGGUAUCGCGCUCUUGGAUGGGCUCAUGUCCUAUCAGCUUGUUGGUGAGGAACGGCUCACCAAGGCUUCGACGGGUAGCUGGUCUGAGAGGACGAUCAGCCACACUGGCACUGCGACACGGGCCAGACUCCUACGGGAGGCAGCAGUAAGGAAUAUUGCGCAAUGGGCGAAAGCCUGACGCAGCGACGCCGCGUGGGGGAUGAAGGUCUUCGGAUUGUAAACCCCUUUCGGGAGGGAAGAUGGAACGAGCAAUCGUUCGGACGGUACCUCCAGAAGCAGCCACGGCUAACUUCGUGCCAGCAGCCGCA
rnacentral:rRNA from 1 species